GAUGAACGCUGGCGGCGUGCCUAAUACAUGCAAGUCGAGCGAACAGAUGAGGAGCUUGCUCCUCUGACGUUAGCGGCGGACGGGUGAGUAACACGUGGAUAACCUACCUAUAAGACUGGGAUAACUUCGGGAAACCGGAGCUAAUACCGGAUAAUAUAUUGAACCGCAUGGUUCAAUAGUGAAAGACGGUUUUGCUGUCACUUAUAGAUGGAUCCGCGCCGCAUUAGCUAGUUGGUAAGGUACGGCUUACCAAGGCAACGAUGCGUAGCCGACCUGAGAGGGUGAUCGGCCACACUGGAACUGAGACACGGUCCAGACCCCUACGGGAGGCAGCAGUAGGGAAUCUUCCGCAAUGGGCGAAAGCCUGACGGAGCAACGCCGCGUGAGUGAUGAAGGUCUUCGGAUCGUAAAACUCUGUUAUUGGGGAAGAACAAAUGUGUAAGUAACUAUGCACGUCUUGACGGUACCUAAUCAGAAAGCCACGGCUAACUACGUG
rnacentral:rRNA from 1 species